AAAAUGUAUAGCUCCGUAAAUAUGUGGAACCAGUCCGAAUUGUACAAGCGCGUAACGUGUGUGUGUAGGCUCUCCCAUCCAACUCCUAUUCCGACACGUCCACGUUGUGCAGAGUGGUAACAUGUGCCUCCAUAUAUACUAGCUUGGGUACACGGGCUAGAUCCAACCCCUUGGGUGAAUGGUGGCACAUGGCGAACCAGGAGGGG
rnacentral:ribozyme from 1 species